CGGUGCGUGGGUAGCUGCUGCUCGGGGCCCGGCCACAGCAAGCGGCGGCGUCAAGCCCCCGGGGUUGGCGCGGUUGGCGGGGGCAGUCCCGAACGUGAAGAGGUCGGCGCAGGUUACAACAGUGAGGACGAGUAUGAAGCGGCUGCAGCACGCAUCGAGGCCAUGGACCCUGCCACUGUCGAGCAGCAGGAGCACUGGUUUGAAAAGGCACUGCGAGACAAGAAGGGCUUCAUCAUCAAGCAGAUGAAGGAGGAUGGUGCCUGUCUCUUCCGGGCUGUAGCUGACCAGGUGUAUGGAGACCAGGACAUGCAUGAAGUUGUACGAAAGCACUGUAUGGACUAUCUGAUGAAGAAUGCUGACUAUUUCUCCAACUAUGUCACAGAAGACUUUACCACCUACAUCAACCGGAAACGAAAAAACAACUGCCAUGGCAACCACAUUGAGAUGCAGGCCAUGGCAGAGAUGUACAACAGGCCUGUGGAGGUGUACCAGUACAGCACAGGUACUUCUGUGGUGGAACCCAUCAACACAUUCCAUGGGAUCCAUCAAAAUGAGGAUGAACCCAUCCGUGUCAGCUACCAUCGGAAUAUCCACUACAAUUCAGUGGUGAAUCCCAACAAGGCCACCAUUGGUGUAGGGCUGGGCCUGCCUUCAUUCAAACCAGGGUUUGCAGAGCAGUCCCUGAUGAAGAAUGCCAUAAAAACAUCAGAGGAGUCGUGGAUUGAACAGCAGAUGCUGGAAGACAAAAAGCGGGCCACAGACUGGGAGGCCACGAAUGAGGCCAUUGAGGAGCAGGUGGCUCGGGAAUCCUACCUACAGUGGCUGCGGGAUCAGGAAAAACAGGCCCGCCAGGUCCGCGGCACCAGCCAGCCCCGGAAAGCCAGCGCCACGUGCAGUUCCGCCACAGCAGCCGCCUCCAGUGGCCUAGAGGAGUGGACUAGCCGGUCCCCACGGCAGCGGAGUUCAGCCUCAUCACCUGAGCACCCCGAGCUGCAUGCCGAGCUGGGCAUCACGCCCUCUUCCCCAGGCACUGUCUUAGCUCUUGCCAAACCUCCUUCACCUAGUGCACCAGGUACAAGCAGCCAGUUCUCAGCAGGGGCCGACCGGGCCACUUCCCCCCUUGUGUCCCUCUACCCUGCUCUGGAGUGCCGGGCCCUCAUUCAGCAGAUGUCCCCCUCUGCCUUCGCAGGUCUGAACGACUGGGAUGAUGAUGAAAUCCUAGCAUCGGUGCUGGCAGUGUCACAACAGGAAUACCUAGACAGUAUGAAGAAAAAUAAAGUGCACAGAGAUCCACCCCCAGACAAGAGUUGAUGGAGACCCAGAGACUGGAGACCAUCUCCCAACUCCCACCACUCCUGCCCUCCGGUGCCACCCUACCUUCUUUGACUUUCUUCCCUCUAGCUGUCUUCCUCCUACUCUAUCUCCCUUCCUUAUCCUUUUCCCCACUUUUCUCUUGCUGGCCCACCCCUGCGCUCCCUCUCAUCGCUGCCACCACCACUAUCACCUGUCUCUUCGCCAGCUGACGUGCCCUGUUGCCCCCUGCACAGCACCAUCCCUGCAUUCCACAGGGGACUUGGGCAAGGGUGCCGAAGGUAGGCAAGAGGCACACAGACAAACCAACUGGCAGCCAGGCAGCCCCUGAGGAGAGACAUUCAGAGGAAAGCCUCCCUGAUCCCCAUUCCUUCCAAGAUCAGAAAGAAACUUGUCACCCCACCUGCACAAUAAUGCCAGGGAGAUGGGAGGAAGAAGUGGGGGAUUCCCCUUCCCAGUACCCCAAAAAUGUCUGAGCCUCCAAUGUUGAUUUUUUUUCUUUAUUAAAAUGUACUUUUAUCUUAUAAAGUCAACCAAUCCAAAAUGACAUAGACAACAGCAUUGGCUCUAUGAAGGCGGCAUCUCUCUGGUUUGGGGGCAGGCAAGCCAUGGGACACAGAGAUGUGGUUGCUGUCUCUGGCCUUCAGCUCUGUGGAGUCUCUUUGGAAUCUUAGGAUGGGGGCACCUUUGAGGAUCAUGGCCGCCGCCCAGGAUUUGAGUGGGGAGUGGGAGCAGCCUUGGCAGAUGGGGCACCAUGGCCUGCGGGUGUUGACAAGGUCCACCAUCUGUAAUGUCCUUGGCACAAUAAAACCAAAUGUUAGUUUCCC